GACGAACGCUGGCGGCGUGCCUAAUACAUGCAAGUCGAACGAAGCUUUUUUAACUGGUGCUUGCACCGACUUAAACAACUGAGUGGCGAACGGGUGAGUAACACGUGGGUAACCUGCCCCAAAGCGGGGGAUAACAUUUGGAAACAGAUGCUAAUACCGCAUAACCACAGAAACCACAUGGUUUCUGUGUCAAAGAUGGUUUCGGCUAUCACUUUGGGAUGGACCCGCGGCGUAUUAGCUAGUUGGUAAGGUAAUGGCUUACCAAGGCAAUGAUACGAAGCCGAGCUGAGAGGUUGGUCGGUCACAUUGGGACUGAGACACGGCCCAAACUCCUACGGGAGGCAGCAGUAGGGAAUCUUCCACAAUGGACGAAAGUCUGAUGGAGCAACGCCGCGUGAGUGAAGAAGGUUUUCGGAUCGUAAAACUCUGUUGUCAGAGAAGAACGUGUGCGAGAGUAACUGUUCGUGCAGUGACGGUAUCUGGCCAGAAAGCCACGGCUAACUACGUGCCAGCCGCCGCCGUAA
rnacentral:rRNA from 1 species